CUACGGGUUGCUGCAGUGGGGAAUAUUGCACAAUGGGCGCAAGCCUGAUGCAGCCAUGCCGCGUGUAUGAAGAAGGCCUUCGGGUUGUAAAGUACUUUCAGCGGGGAGGAAGGGAGUAAAGUUAAUACCUUUGCUCAUUGACGUUACCCGCAGAAGAAGCACCGGCUAACUCCGUGCCAGCAGCCGCGGUAAUACGGAGGGUGCAAGCGUUAAUCGGAAUUACUGGGCGUAAAGCGCACGCAGGCGGUUUGUUAAGUCAGAUGUGAAAUCCCCGGGCUCAACCUGGGAUCUGCAUCUGAUACUGGCAAGCUUGAGUCUCGUAGAGGGGGGUAGAAUUCCAGGUGUAGCGGUGAAAUGCGUAGAGAUCUGGAGGAAUACCGGUGGCGAAGGCGGCCCCCUGGACGAAGACUGACGCUCAGGUGCGAAAGCGUGGGGAGCAAACAGGAUUAGAUACCCGGGUAGUC
rnacentral:rRNA from 1 species